UAAGACAGAGGGUGCAAACGUUGCUCGGAAUCACUGGGCGUAAAGGGCGUGUAGGCGGGAAUGUAAGUCGGGCGUGAAAUCCCUAGGCUCAACCUAGGAACUGCACUCGAAACUGCGUUUCUUGAGUGCCGGAGAGGAAAGCGGAAUACCUGGUGUAGAGGUGAAAUUCGUAGAUAUCAGGUGGAACACCAGUGGCGAAGGCGGCUUUCUGGACGGUAACUGACGCUGAGACGCGAAAGCGUGGGGAGCAAACAGGAUUAGAUACCCUGGUAGUCCACGCCGUAAACGAUGAGCGCUAGGUGUCGUGGGUAUUGACCCCCGCGGUGCCGAAGCUAACGCAUUAAGCGCUCCGCCUGGGAAGUACGGUCGCAAGACUA
rnacentral:rRNA from 1 species